rnacentral:rRNA from 1 species
GUAUCAGAAGUGCGAAUGCUGACAUAAGUAACGAUAAAGCGGGUGAAAAGCCCGCUCGCCGGAAGACCAAGGGUUCCUGUCCAACGUUAAUCGGGGCAGGGUGAGUCGACCCCUAAGGCGAGGCCGAAAGGCGUAGUCGAUGGGAAACAGGUUAAUAUUCCUGUACUUGGUGUUACUGCGAAGGGGGGACGGAGAAGGCUAUGUUGGCCGGGCGACGGUUGUCCCGGUUUAAGCGUGUAGGCUGGUUUUCCAGGCAAAUCCGGAAAACCAAGGCUGAGGCGUGAUGACGAGGCACUACGGUGCUGAAGCAACAAAUGCCCUGCUUCCAGGAAAAGCCUCUAAGCAUCAGGUAACAUCAAAUCGUACCCCAAACCGACACAGGUGGUCAGGUAGAGAAUACCAAGGCGCUUGAGAGAACUCGGGUGAAGGAACUAGGCAAAAUGGUGCCGUAACUUCGGGAGAAGGCACGCUGAUAUGUAGGUGAAGCGACUUGCUCGUGGAGCUGAAAUCAGUCGAAGAUACCAGCUGGCUGCAACUGUUUAUU